GAUGAACGCUGGCGGCGUGCUUAACACAUGCAAGUCGAACGGGAAACCUUUUAAUGAAGCUUCGGCAGAUUUCGCUGGUUUCUAGUGGCGGACGGGUGAGUAACGCGUGGGUAACCUGCCUUAUACAGGGGGAUAACAGUCAGAAAUGACUGCUAAUACCGCAUAAGCGCACAGGACCGCAUGGUCCGGUGUGAAAAACUCCGGUGGUAUAAGAUGGACCCGCGUUGGAUUAGCUUGUUGGUGGGGUAACGGCUCACCAAGGCGACGAUCCAUAGCCGGCCUGAGAGGGUGAACGGCCACAUUGGGACUGAGACACGGCCCAGACUCCUACGGGAGGCAGCAGUGGGGAAUAUUGCACAAUGGGGGAAACCCUGAUGCAGCGACGCCGCGUGAAGGAAGAAGUAUCUCGGUAUGUAAACUUCUAUCAGCAGGGAAGAUAGUGACGGUACCUGACGAAGAAGCCCCGGCUAACUACGUG
rnacentral:rRNA from 1 species